GUACAAUGUCUCGAGGCAGACUUUAAGGUAACAUUACAGCAACAAAAUUCACUGGAGGAUUGGGCAAUCUGGCUGAAAGGAGUUGUUACUAAAGUGCUUAAACCAUUUGAAGAGAAACCAACGUCCGCUAAAGCUGCAUGUCAAUUUUUGCUCAAAUAGUCGUUUUAUAGCUCGAUGAUUAUCUGGGAUUUCACUUUGAGAAGCGCGGCGAGUUUCGGAUCUUUUCAUCUUAUCAGUAAUUUAUUAAUAUAGAUUUAACAAUUUUAUAAACAAUAUAAAUGAAUCUCGGCCUAUUAGUACCAGGAUACAUGAUCGCAGGUGUUCUAGAAGCCAAUCUGUUACCAAGAACAAUGAAGCGGAAAAAGAUUGAUGUGUAUAGAUAUAUAGGUUUUGGACAAAGUAAUGAAUGUGGCAUUGUGCAUAAUGCCCGAGAUCAUUCGGGCAGAGUGAUAAAUAUUUGUUAUAAUAUAAAUAUAAAUAAAUAAAUAUAUAUAAAUCGCUUUAAC